rnacentral:rRNA from 1 species
UACAGAGGGUGCGAGCGUUGUCCGGAAUCACUGGGCGUAAAGCGCGCGCAGGCGGUCCUUUUAAGUCUGAUGUGAAAGCCCACGGCUCAACCGUGGAGGGUCAUUGGAAACUGGGGGACUUGAGUGCAGAAGAGGAAAGCGGAAUUCCACGUGUAGCGGUGAAAUGCGUAGAGAUGUGGAGGAACACCAGUGGCGAAGGCGGCGAUCUGGGUCGAUACUGACGCUGAGGUGCGAAAGCGUGGGGAGCAAACAGG